UACGUAGGGACCGAGCGUUGUCCGGAUUCAUUGGGCGUAAAGAGCUCGUAGGCGGCCACUCAAGUCGAAUGUGAAACCUCGAGGCUUAACCUCGAGCCUGCAUUUGAUACUGGGCGGCUAGAGUCUGGUAGGGGGAUCUGGAAUUCCUGGUGUAGCGGUGGAAUGCGCAGAUAUCAGGAGGAACACCAGUGGCGAAGGCGACACACUGGCCCGUAACUGACGCUGAGGCGCGAAAGCGUGGGGAGCAAACAGG
rnacentral:rRNA from 1 species